GACGAACGCUGGCGGCGUGCUUAACACAUGCAAGUCGAGCGGUAAGGCUCCUUCGGGAGCACACGAGCGGCGAACGGGUGAGUAACACGUGAGCAAUCUGCCCUUCACACGGGGAUAACUCCGGGAAACCGGUGCUAAUACCCGAUACGACCACUUCAGGCAUCUGAUGGUGGUGGAAAGUUCCGGCGGUGAAGGAUGAGCUCGCGGCCUAUCAGCUUGUUGGUGGGGAACGGCCCACCAAGGCAACGACGGGUAGCCGGCCUGAGAGGGUGACCGGCCACACUGGGACUGAGACACGGCCCAGACUCCUACGGGAGGCAGCAGUGGGGAAUAUUGGACAAUGGGCGAAAGCCUGAUCCAGCAACGCCGCGUGAGGGAUGACGGCCU
rnacentral:rRNA from 1 species